rnacentral:ncRNA from 1 species
ACCCUGGGAAGUAGAUGCAAUUGAUCUCUCUGUUCAGGUUAUCAGAAAAGUUAACACAAGAACAAUUGACUUGUGGAGAACAAGCAUUCAUAGCACAUGGUUUUUUGUUCCUUCAAUGUUGGUUCUUCCUAUUAUUGUGAAACAGAAUUCACCUUGAGUUGGAUUGUUCACCCACUGAUAAGGAAUAUGAAAUUGAUUUAGACCAUUGUGGAAAAGAUGAGUCUUACCUUAGU